AUUUCCGAAUGGGGAAACCCAGUGUGUUUCGACACACUAUCAUUAACUGAAUCCAUAGGUUAAUGAGGCGAACCGGGGGAACUGAAACAUCUAAGUACCCCGAGGAAAAGAAAUCAACCGAGAUUCCCCCAGUAGCGGCGAGCGAACGGGGAGGAGCCCAGAGCCUGAAUCAGUGUGUGUGUUAGUGGAAGCGUCUGGAAAGGCGUGCGAUACAGGGUGACAGCCCCGUACACAAAAAUGCACAUAUUGUGAGCUCGAUGAGUAGGGCGGGACACGUGGUAUCCUGUCUGAAUAUGGGGGGACCAUCCUCCAAGGCUAAAUACUCCUGACUGACCGAUAGUGAACCAGUACCGUGAGGGAAAGGCGAAAAGAACCCCGGCGAGGGGAGUGAAAAAGAACCUGAAACCGUGUACGUACAAGCAGUGGGAGCCUCUUAAUGGGGUGACUGCGUACCUUUUGUAUAAUGGGUCAGCGACUUAUAUUCUGUAGCAAGGUUAACCGAAUAGGGGAGCCGAAGGGAAACCGAGUCUUAACUGGGCGUUAAGUUGCAGGGUAUAGACCCGAAACCCGGUGAUCUAGCCAUGGGCAGGUUGAAGGUUGGGUAACACUAACUGGAGGACCGAACCGACUAAUGUUGAAAAAUUAGCGGAUGACUUGUGGCUGGGGGUGAAAGGCCAAUCAAACCGGGAGAUAGCUGGUUCUCCCCGAAAGCUAUUUAGGUAGCGCCUCGUGAAUUCAUCUCCGGGGGUAGAGCACUGUUUCGGCAAGGGGGUCAUCCCGACUUACCAACCCGAUGCAAACUGCGAAUACCGGAGAAUGUUAUCACGGGAGACACACGGCGGGUGCUAACGUCCGUCGUGAAGAGGGAAACAACCCAGACCGCCAGCUAAGGUCCCAAAGUCAUGGUUAAGUGGGAAACGAUGUGGGAAGGCCCAGACAGCCAGGAUGUUGGCUUAGAAGCAGCCAUCAUUUAAAGAAAGCGUAAUAGCUCACUGGUCGAGUCGGCCUGCGCGGAAGAUGUAACGGGGCUAAACCAUGCACCGAAGCUGCGGCAGCGACACUAUGUGUUGUUGGGUAGGGGAGCGUUCUGUAAGCCUGUGAAGGUGGCCUGUGAGGGUUGCUGGAGGUAUCAGAAGUGCGAAUGCUGACAUAAGUAACGAUAAAGCGGGUGAAAAGCCCGCUCGCCGGAAGACCAAGGGUUCCUGUCCAACGUUAAUCGGGGCAGGGUGAGUCGACCCCUAAGGCGAGGCCGAAAGGCGUAGUCGAUGGGAAACAGGUUAAUAUUCCUGUACUUGGUGUUACUGCGAAGGGGGGACGGAGAAGGCUAUGUUGGCCGGGCGACGGUUGUCCCGGUUUAAGCGUGUAGGCUGGUUUUCCAGGCAAAUCCGGAAAACCAAGGCUGAGGCGUGAUGACGAAGCACUACGGUGCUGAAGCGACAAAUGCCCUGCUUCCAGGAAAAGCCUCUAAGCAUCAGGUAACAUCAAAUCGUACCCCAAACCGACACAGGUGGUCAGGUAGAGAAUACCAAGGCGCUUGAGAGAACUCGGGUGAAGGAACUAGGCAAAAUGGUGCCGUAACUUCGGGAGAAGGCACGCUGAUAUGUAGGUGAAGCGACUUGCUCGUGGAGCUGAAAUCAGUCGAAGAUACCAGCUGGCUGCAACUGUUUAUUAAAAACACAGCACUGUGCAAACACGAAAGUGGACGUAUACGGUGUGACGCCUGCCCGGUGCCGGAAGGUUAAUUGAUGGGGUUAGCGGCAACGCGAAGCUCUUGAUCGAAGCCCCGGUAAACGGCGGCCGUAACUAUAACGGUCCUAAGGUAGCGAAAUUCCUUGUCGGGUAAGUUCCGACCUGCACGAAUGGCGUAAUGAUGGCCAGGCUGUCUCCACCCGAGACUCAGUGAAAUUGAACUCGCUGUGAAGAUGCAGUGUACCCGCGGCAAGACGGAAAGACCCCGUGAACCUUUACUAUAGCUUGACACUGAACAUUGAGCCUUGAUGUGUAGGAUAGGUGGGAGGCUUUGAAGUGUGGACGCCAGUCUGCAUGGAGCCGACCUUGAAAUACCACCCUUUAAUGUUUGAUGUUCUAACGUUGGCCCGUAAUCCGGGUUGCGGACAGUGUCUGGUGGGUAGUUUGACUGGGGCGGUCUCCUCCUAAAGAGUAACGGAGGAGCACGAAGGUUGGCUAAUCCUGGUCGGACAUCAGGAGGUUAGUGCAAUGGCAUAAGCCAGCUUGACUGCGAGCGUGACGGCGCGAGCAGGUGCGAAAGCAGGUCAUAGUGAUCCGGUGGUUCUGAAUGGAAGGGCCAUCGCUCAACGGAUAAAAGGUACUCCGGGGAUAACAGGCUGAUACCGCCCAAGAGUUCAUAUCGACGGCGGUGUUUGGCACCUCGAUGUCGGCUCAUCACAUCCUGGGGCUGAAGUAGGUCCCAAGGGUAUGGCUGUUCGCCAUUUAAAGUGGUACGCGAGCUGGGUUUAGAACGUCGUGAGACAGUUCGGUCCCUAUCUGCCGUGGGCGCUGGAGAACUGAGGGGGGCUGCUCCUAGUACGAGAGGACCGGAGUGGACGCAUCACUGGUGUUCGGGUUGUCAUGCCAAUGGCACUGCCCGGUAGCUAAAUGCGGAAGAGAUAAGUGCUGAAAGCAUCUAAGCACGAAACUUGCCCCGAGAUGAGUUCUCCCUGAGACUUAGAGUCUCCUGAAGGAACGUUGAAGACGACGACGUUGAUAGGCCGGGUGUGUAAGCGCAGCGAUGCGUUGAGCUAACCGGUACUAAUGAACCGUGAGGCUUAACCUU
rnacentral:rRNA from 1 species